AACGCACAUUGCGCCCUUUGGUAUUCCGAAGGGCAUGCCUGUUCGAGCGUCAUUAUCACCCCUCAAGCCCCUCGGCUUGGUUUUGGACGGCAUGGUCGGGCGACCGACCCCUCCCAAAGACAAUGACGGCGGCCUGGAUCGACCCCCGGUACACUGAGCUUCUUAACCGAGCACGUGCCGGACCUCUAGCGGUCGACGGGACCCGGUCUCACCUAUCUUCUUUUUGAAAGGUUGACCUCGGAUCAGGUAGGGAUACCCGCUGAACUUAA
rnacentral:misc_RNA from 1 species